CCCCUAGAUGUUCUGGGCCGCACGCGCGCUACACUGAACAGUUCAACAAGUCUUAACCUUGGCCGAUAGGUCUGGGUAAUCUUUGAACGCUGUUCGUGAUUGGGAUAGACCUUUGCAAUUAUGGGUCUUCAACGAGGAAUUCCUAGUAAACGCAAGUCAUCAGCUUGCAUUGAUUACGUCCCUGCCCUUUGUACACACCGCCCGUCGCACCUACCGAUUGAGUGAUCCGGUGAAUAAUUCGGACUGAUGCAAUAUUCAGCUCCUGGACGUUGCGUUGGAAAGUUUAGUGAACCUUAUCACUUAGAGGAAGGAGAAGUCGUAACA
rnacentral:rRNA from 1 species